rnacentral:snRNA from 1 species
AUGCUUGCUUCAGCAGCACAUAUACUAAAAUUGGAACGAUAUAGAGAAGAUUAGCAUGGCCCCGUACAAGGAUGACAUGCAAAUUCGUGAAGCGUUCCAUAUUUUU